rnacentral:rRNA from 1 species
GAUUAACGCUGGCGGCGUGCAUAACACAUGCAAGUCGAACGAUGAAACUUAACUGAUCUCUUCGGAGUGAUUUUAAGCGGAUUAGUGGCGGACGGGUGAGUAACGCGUGAGUAACCUGCCUUAGAGAAGGGGAUAGCCUUUGGAAACGAAGAAUAAUACCCUAUGAAAUGACAUUAUCGCAUGAUAAAGUCAUCAAAGAUUUAUCGCUCUAAGAUGGACUUGCGUCUGAUUAGUUAGUUGGUGAGGUAACGGCCACCAAGACAGCGAUCAGUAGCCGGCUUGAGAGAGUGUACGGCCACAUUGGGACUGAGACACGGCCCAGACUCCUACGGGAGGCAGCAGUGGGAAUUUUGCACAAUGGGGGAAACCCUGAUGCAGCGACGCCGCGUGAUUUUAGAAGGCCUUCGGGUUGUAAAAAUCUUUU